CCCUAUUAUAAGGAAUAUAAAAAAUAAUGCUAGAAUAGUAGUAGUUAUGGUCUUGAAAUUUAAAAGAUUUGGCGGUAUUUUAGUCUUUUCAGAGGAACCUGUUCUAUAAUUGAUGAUCCACGAUUAAUUGUACUUAAUUUAUUAGUUUGUAUACCGUCGUAGGUUGAAUGUCUUUGAAGGGUUUAAUGUUCAUAAUUUAUAAUUUUAUAAAGGAAAUCAGAUCAAGGUACAGUUUAUAAUUAAGAAGAGAUGGGUUACAAUAAAAUUAUUUAUAAUGAAUUUAAUAAUUAACAUUAUUAUUGAAAGUGGAUUUGAUAGUAAUAUAUUUAAGUUAAAAUAUAUGAUUUAAGCUCUAGAGUAUG
rnacentral:rRNA from 1 species